rnacentral:misc_RNA from 1 species
AGUCAUCAACCCGAUCCGUUUUCUUGCGAAGCGGAGCGCGGUUGGAUAUGGGGCGUGCCGCCGAGAGGCGGCUCCCCUCAAAUGCGUCGGUCGGACCUGUGGUCGGACUCGAUUGGGCGUUGUACCAUCCUCGCUCUCCCGAGACGUCCCCUACCGUGUCCCUCCCUGACCUGCCUGUGGAGCGGCGGUCUAAUGCAAACUUUGAA